rnacentral:rRNA from 1 species
AUGCAGUUCGAGAUCGAGACCGACACGUCGGACAAAGGCAUUGGCGCCGUGUUGCGCCAGGGCAAGCACCCCGUUGCUUUUCUCAGCAAGGCACUUGGCCCCAAGAACAGGGCGCUGUCCACAUACGAAAAAGAGGGGCUAGCUAUCCUGAUGGCUGUGGACCAUUGGCGCACCUACCUCCAGCAUGAUGAAUUCAUCAUCCACACGGACCAGCGUAGUCUGGUGCACCUGGAGGACCAGCGUCUGGCCACUCCCUGGCAACAAAAGAUCAUGGCCAAGCUGUUGGGACUCAGGUACCGAAUUGUGUACAAGAGAGGUGUGGACAACAGAGUGGAGGACGCCUUGUCGAGGCGCCUAGGGCCGCUCCAAGGCGAUCUGGCAGCAGUGACAGUGGUGGUGCCUGCUUGGCUGGAAACGGUUCAACAAGGCUACACCAAAGACGAGGCUGCCCAGAAAUUGCUGGCACGUUCGGCAACUAAACCAGAGGGGCAUGACGGCUUCACCCUGUAG